UGAAGAAAUGGUUGUCCGCAAAUAUUCAAUUAUUUUCCGUAAUUAUUCAAAUUAUUCAUUAUUAUUCCGUAGAAUUUUUUUUAAUUAGAUGCAACACUUUUCUUUUACCUACUCAUUGCACCCUGGGUGAUAGCAAUCGAAAAAGUAUUUACUUUCAAUAUGAGAUGAAUUAUCACAAAAUUUAUAUUAUUUUUUCAUCGGCAAUUGUUUUGUGAUUACGCAGGUAAAAUAUAUGGGGACAUGUGAUUCAUAUUCGCUCUACCCCAGGUAGUUCAUGUCAAUACUAAUUUUUUCAGAGAAAUAAUAUAUUCCAGAAGUCUCUUUGGAAACGUGAAGAUUCUUCUUGCACAAAUUCAGAAUCCUAUUAUUAUACAAAGUCUAGAAAUUGCACGACAUAAAAAAAUUUUAAGUGUGUGAGGUACAAUAUUUCUUUAAUAUUGUGUUGAUAACGAUUUUUUCCGGAGAAUACAAAACAAUUUAAAUUUUCACUGAGAUGGUACACACAAUAAACUCAUAAAAAAAGUACGACAUACCUGAGAUGCUAAUAAUGUCCUCCAAAUUACUGUAGACAUCAACGUCAAGUUAUGUGGUUCAGCCUGUAUAAUUUCAGCCUCCUUUCACUAGUGUCGAAGAAUAUUGGUUAAAUUCACUUUAUUUAUACACAAAAUUUCACGAAUUUGUCUGUUUAUAAAGUACCAAGCAUGGCCUGAAAAAAUAAUAAUAUAAUUAAUAUUGAAAUAUAAGUGAAUAAAGGGUAAGAGCUAUUAUCAGUUUAAGGAACGUAAUAUACCUGCGCGUGCAUGUGGCUGAACAAAAGCAGAGCGAAACGAUCUGCUUGUCGAUCGAUGUAAACGGAAUGGCAACAGCGGCAGCGCUGCCAUCCACGCCAUGCAGCAAGUUAACACCAUACCGACUCUUCAUACACGUUUUCUUUUUGUUCUGUUUGCUUUUCAAUGUCAUUUAAAUGACGCCUCAAUGAAAUGUGUUCUCAUGUGUGUGUGCAAACCGCCACCAUAAAACCGCAUUCCGCUGAACUACCGUUGGUUUGGUUUUUGCGAUGAACGAACACAAACACACACACACACAUGCAAAAAAACCAUGUAUUCGCCAAGCAUUCAUUGACAAAUUCAAGCGAGAGUACCUAAAAAAAUAGGAAAACAUGAAAUUAACUAUGAGCCUACAAUCAAAUAAGAAUGCUUACCUUCAGGAAAAUGCGGUACAAUGUCCGAGGGCGAAGGAUCGACAGAUUUUUUUUUUUUUUUUGCAGAAAUGGGAUUUCUGAAUACUUGGAUAUGUGUCUUGCUAUCACACUGAAAUCACUAUCACUUUAGGUAAUUCUAACGAACGAAACGAUGGCGAAACCAAACGCACAUCACCGUUUCUUUUGCAGAUGCCUAGAAACGGUGAAGUUUUGUUGCGUGGUGGGCACUAUUUAAUUUUUAAUUGAUGUUUUUUUUAGCUAACAUCCGCGACGUGCAAACCGCAGCAACCCGUGUUUAAAAAAUGAAGCGGAAAUGUUCUGUCCCAAUGGUAAUUAGAAUUGCCACCACUGCCAGUGUUGUAUUUGGAUCGAUUAUUUGGUAGAUAAAUUAAUCGAAAAUACCACCUGCGAUAUUGUAAGGGCUCGUUAGGUCGGUAUCAUAAAGAAGGUAAAUGUCAGGAAAAAUUAAGGAAAAGCCGAAAAGCGGAAAAAUGCCGCGUCAUUCCCGUAGGUAUAAAAGGGGGAAAAAGGAAAACGCGCCCUUAUUAUUCAAGUGGUGCGACAGUAAAAUAGUGGUCAUAAAAGUAAAAAAAAAUUAAAACCUGCCAAAUUUCAAAAUAAAAAUUACUUUUUUUAAGGCAAUAAAAGCCUCGAUAUUUAUUUUAUUAUUUAUGGUGAAGGCGUUAGUAAUUGAUUUGUUUCGCCAAAAUAAUUUAAAUUUCUCGAGGGUAUCAACUGGCCUCCUCGGCGAACAAAAGCGGAGAGGUCAGCCCAUCUUUGACGGCCACAGCAACCACCACAACGCAAAAUUGAGGCCCCAGCAACCGCCUCCAUAACACCAAUUCCCUUGAUCCAUGAUAUCCGGGUUCUGCUUUAUCCUGGUGGACGAGGUCGCGGAAGAGUGAUCCUGGAAAAGAACAAAGCAGGUUGUACUAAAGAAUGCAAAAAGCCAGGUAACAAAGUUAUUUAUUAAACUUACCGCUUGUUUGAUACAACCACUGGCAUAAAAUAAAAACCAGAACCAGGAGGGAGACCCUGCAACAGAAAAAAGGAGAAAUUCCAUUACAUAAAAUUUUAAGAAAAAGCAAAAGGCAGAAAAAUUCAUAUAAAUUAAGAGAAAGAACUAAUAUAAUAUUCAAAUUUUUAAUUAAGAUAAUAUAUUUAGGUUAAGUUGUGUUGUCUAAGUUUAUUAUUUGUGUUUUUUUUUGUGUCCAGCAUAAAUGUUCUUGUUUUUGUGAGGGACAUUAACUAUUCUAAAUUUUAUAAGUAAAUUGGAGUGUAGGGUUACCCCAAAUUACUUUGAGUGUUAUAAUCAAGAUUUUUUUUGAGGUUCCGUUGAAUAUUGUGGACCAGUUUGCGGGUCCCUCACCACCUAAGAGAGCUCGUUUAGGCAGGUACUAAUUGCAUAACUUAGAAAGUCCAAAAUUUGGUGACAUUUAGUUGACUGAAGUAAUGAAGGGUGGUCUGAUAUAUAUGAACUCCUCAAACAAUGACUAAGAGAUCCUGAUAGUUAAUGUUUCAAAUUUCAGCUUGUUUGUUCUAUUUUAAGGAAAUCUUAUAUAUUAAUAAAUUGUUCGUAAUAUGAUUGUUUGUGUAAU